UCCUCUAUUGAAGUAUUUGAGGUAUUGCCUGCUCAAUGCGAAAGUAAAUAGCCGCAGUAUUCUGACUGUGCAAAGGUAGCAUAAUAGAUUGGCCUUUAAUUGAGGUCUGGAAUGAAUGGCUUGACAAGGAUUUAACUGUCUUAGGGCAAAAAAUUUUGAAGUUGAAUUAUUUGUAAAAAUGCAGAUAUGAAAGAGAGGGACGAGAAGACCCUAUAGAUCUUUAAUAAAUCGUUAAAUAUAAUAUUAGUUUUGACUGAUUUUUUUUAUUUGGGGAAAAUCUUGAAAUAUUUUUUAAACUUCGGUUAAAAAAGAUGAAAAGUAAAAUUACUAAUUUUUGAUCCAUUAUAUGUGAAAGGAUGAAAAAGUUACCUUAGGGAUAACAGGACAAUGAUUUUCUAGGAGGCCUUAUCUUAGGAGACGUUUGUUACCUCGAUGUUGAAUUAAGUUAUCUAGUUAAAGAAGAAAUUUAUAUAGUUGGUCUGUUCGACCAUUAAAAAC
rnacentral:rRNA from 1 species